rnacentral:rRNA from 1 species
GACGAACGCUGGCGGCGUGCCUAACACAUGCAAGUCGAACGGAGCACUUCGGUGCUUAGUGGCGAACGGGUGAGUAACGCGUGAGCAACCUACCUUUCAGUGGGGGACAACAGUUGGAAACGACUGCUAAUACCGCAUGAUGUCAUCGGGGGACAUCCCCUGGUGACCAAAGCUUUAUGUGCUGAAAGAUGGGCUCGCGUCUGAUUAGCUAGAUGGCGGGGUAACGGCCCACCAUGGCGACGAUCAGUAGCCGGUCUGAGAGGAUGAACGGCCACAUUGGGACUGAGAUACGGCCCAG